rnacentral:lncRNA from 1 species
CCUCUAAAUAGUCUUGAUAUACCUUCUUUAUUCCACUUUUGAGAGUAAAAUCUUAACAUCUUUCUUUUUUUUGGUACCAAGACUCAAACUCAUGACCUCAGGUUUGCCAGGCAAAUGCUUAUGCUGCUGAGCUGGAUCCCCAGACUUUAACAUCUUUCUUUCAUAACAUGAAAAAUGGUCUAGAUGUGAAGAGGGAGAGGAGGAACAUGGAUAAAAGACUGCUUGAGAAGCUUUUUAUUUUUUAUAAUGUAAAUCUUCCAUUAAUCCACUGAUUAUAUCCUUUUUCUGCAACUCUCAUGUAAGUAUAUAUACUUUAACUUUAAACUUCUUUUUUCAAAUUGUUUAGAAACUAAGACAUAAUUAUUUCUUACCGCAGGUCCUUCAAGUUCCAAGAAAUGGUAACAGUGCUACCCUGUUUCUGCUCAUCUCAGCUGCUCCUUAACAUUUACCUAGAAAUCUAAAGAGAAACAGGCUUCCCUUCAGUCCCAUCUAUAACAGGCCCAGAGUGACAUAACAACUUGUCAGAAUUAUGACUCUGACACACUGCAGAAUCUUCUAAAAAAAUGUAGAAGACUGAAGACAUUGGGGAUGGAUGGGUAAGAAUGUAAAAAGAAGAGAUGGUCGACUUUAAGGAGAUGGGGAAAAAUGAAGAUCUAAACCAAAUACAAGAGCUUAACAAUCCUUUGGCAAAACCAGAAGUCUACCGCCAUAAGAACAUAAAUCCAGGAUAUAAUAAAAACAUGGUAA